CUUAAGCAUUUCAAUAAGCGGAGGAAAAGAAACCAACAGGGAUUGCCCCAGUAACGGCGAGUGAAGCGGCAACAGCUCAAAUUUGAAAUCUGGCCUCGUGCCCGAGUUGUAAUUUGCAGAGGAUGCUUUUGGCGAGGCGCCUUCCGAGUUCCCUGGAACGGGACGCCGUAGAGGGUGAGAGCCCCGUAAGGUCGGACGCCGAGCCUCUGUAAAGCUCCUUCGACGAGUCGAGUAGUUUGGGAAUGCUGCUCAAAAUGGGAGGUAAAUUUCUUCUAAAGCUAAAUACAGGCCAAAGACCGAUAGCGCACAAGUAGAGUGAUCGAAAGAUGAAAAGCACUUUGAAAAGAGGGUUAAACAGCACGUGAAAUUGUUGAAAGGGAAGCGCUCGUGACCAGACUUGCGCCCGGCGGAUCAGCCAGCGUUCUCGCUGGUGCCUCCGCCGGGUCCAGGCCAGCAUCGGUCUCCGCCGCGGGAUAAAGGCUCAGGGAACGUGACUCCCCCGGGAGUGUUAUAGCCCUCUGCAGAAUACCGCCGCGGGGACCGAGGACCGCGCUUCGGCAAGGAUGCUGGCGUAAUGGUCACCAGCGACCCGUCUUGAAACACGGACCAAGGAGUCAAGCAUUAGGGCGAGUGUUUGGGUGUAAAACCCGCACGCGUAAUGAAAGUAAACGCUGGUGAGAGCCUCGGCGCAUCAUCGACCGAUCCUGAUGUUCUCGGAUGGAUUUGAGUAAGAGCCUUACCGCUUGGACCCGAAAGUUGAUGAACUAUGCCUGUAUAGGGUGAAGCCAGAGGAAACUCUGGUGGAGGCUCGCAGCGGUUCUGACGUGCAAAUCGAUCGUCAAAUAUGGGCAU
rnacentral:rRNA from 1 species